rnacentral:rRNA from 1 species
CCUACGGGGGGCAGCAGUGGGGAAUAUUGGACAAUGGGGGGAACCCUGAUCCAGCCAUGCCGCGUGUGUGAAGAAGGCCCUCGGGUUGUAAAGCACUUUCAGUGAGGAAGAACGCCUGGUGGUUAAUACCCAUCAGGAAAGACAUCACUCACAGAAGAAGCACCGGCUAACUCCGUGCCAGCAGCCGCGGUAAUACGGAGGGUGCGAGCGUUAAUCGGAAUUACUGGGCGUAAAGCGCGCGUAGGUGGCUUGAUAAGCCGGUUGUGAAAGCCCCGGGCUCAACCUGGGAACGGCAUCCGGAACUGUCAAGCUAGAGUACAGGAGAGGAAGGUAGAAUUCCCGGUGUAGCGGUGAAAUGCGUAGAGAUCGGGAGGAAUACCAGUGGCGAAGGCGGCCUUCUGGACUGACACUGACACUGAGGUGCGAAAGCGUGGGUAGCAAACAGGAUUAGAUACCCGAGUAGUC